rnacentral:rRNA from 1 species
AUGAACGCUGGCGGCGUGCUUAACACAUGCAAGUCGCACUGAAAGGCUCCUGCUUGCCGGGGUACUCGAGUGGCGAACGGGUGAGUAACACGUGGGUGAUCUGCCCUGCACUUCGGGAUAAGCCUGGGAAACUGGGUCUACUACCGGCUAGGACGAUGGUUUGGAUGCCAUUUUGGAACGUUUUUCGGUGUGGGAUGAGCUCGCGGCCUAUCAGCUUGUUGGUGGGGUAAUGGCCUACCAAGGCGUCGACGGGUAGCCGGCCUGAGAGGGUGUACGGCCACAUUGGGGCUGAGAUACGGCCCAGACUCCUACGGGAGGCAGCAGGGGGGAAUAUUGCACAAUGGGCGCAAGCCUGAUGCAGCGACGCCGCGUGGGGGAUGACGGCCUUCGGGUUGUAAACUACUUUCGCUAGGGACGAAGAGCAAGUGACGGUACCUGGAGAAGAAGCACCGGCUAACUACGUG